UCUCUUUUAUAUUGACAGAAGUUGAGGAGAUUUCGAUACAUUUAAACCAUUUUAAGCCUCGAUAUUCGAAGGCUUCCGAAGUAGAAGUCUAGUUUUUGAUAUUAUUUUGUAAUUAUUUCGUAACUUUUUAAACCUGCAAACUGUGUUUUUUUCUUCGCAACUGCUCCCAAGUGAAUCUGUGUGGAUGACAAGCCUGCUAUUGAAAUUAACAAUCAAAUGUCACACAGGCUGAUUGUCCUAGAAUUGCACUAUUGCAGUGUUCUUUUCCUUCAUAUAUAAAACGGCGGUAUAGAGUUCACUGUCGCUAAAACAGUUAACAUUUCGUCUCAUACACAGUAGGUGUGUAAAAGUUUAAUUCAUAAUGUGGUUUCAAUGUAAGAGCAUGUGUGAAACUACCUGCAUGCUCAAGUUAAUUGAAUGUAUUCAUCGUCAUGGCUGAGCUGGAAGAGCCAACAUAUCACAUAGAGAUUACAGUUGUAAAAAAUGCUUUUGGUCAAGUGAUAGCGGCAUCUAUUGUGGUGACAAUUGUCCCAAAUACUGGAAACAGCACUAACUGACAACUUCUUGAGUUGAAGAUGGAGGUGGUGGAUGAUGGAUCAGUUUGGAGAUGGAAGUGGCCACGAAAAUCAUUGUGUGAAGCCAAUAUCAAUAAUAACAAAGUUCUGCACACUCAGACUUGGGAGGCUCAAAGGGUCAUAUCUACCACAUGCUACCAUUUUUGUCAUUGGGAGCUGAUUCGAGGGUUGGUAAUCAGCACAGUAUGCAUGAAACACACUCAUCACACAGGAAAAAGAUGCUGCCGUCAAUCUGGGACACUUGCUGAUCAAUCGACGGUUCUCCAUUACUUCGCCUGAGCAGCAGAAAUUACCCUUCUGCUAUUUACCAUAAGUAUUAUUAUUUUUAUAUGUAAGGUAAGAUUUUAUGACUGCAUUUUUAACAUAAUAGUAAUUGAUAAAUGAACUUUUUAAGUAAGUUAUGUAAGUUUAUCGUGAGUUUUAAAAACAUUUGUUAUUUUUUUUUAUAUUAUGACAGGUGACAUACAUUGUAUUAUAGAGAAGGGUCUAAAAGUAGGUGAAAAGGAUAAUAUCCUAUCCUUUCACAUGUUAUGUGAAAAGUAAGGGCUGUAGAAAUUAAUGGAAAUAACCAAUCUCAGACUCGGUGCUAUUAUCUAUAAAAAGUCUUUUAUUCUAUAUAUAAAAACAUGUAUAUAAAAAUAUAGAAAAAUAUUAGAAACAAAGAACCUGAUUGUUAAUUCGUUGAAAUUAGUAUUUAUUUAAAAUUUCCAAGUGUCUUACUAUGUAUCUCGAUUCAUGAGAUACAAUGUGCCUCGCGACAGACGAACAAAUAGAGAAACCUAAGAAAUAGGUCCUCAUUAAACCCGUAAAGUACGAAACGUUCGUCAUAAAUGAUAAACAGGGUGAAAAUAAUAAUGAUAAUGAAAUUCAAUAAUUAAUUUUGCCAUAUUAUUGUAUCUAAGACGUAUGCAAGAAUACGAACAUACAGAUUGACCUUGCAUGUGUAUCGUGCAGGCACUUGAACCUAUUUUUACAAUACUUGACUUGAUUGGUGCUAACCGGACGAUUUGUUAUGUGCACAAUCAUUGUUGCAUGCGUAUACAGCGUGGACGAAGACCGCUCGUAUAAUGAACACCGCUUUCUUAUAGACAUGAAUAACUUCUCGAAGAAACGAAUAGUCUGAACCUAAAUAAUACUUAGCCUUCUUAACAGAUUUAGACCAUUUAAAAAAAUCUUUUUUUCAAGUUACGAGUUUUUAUUAAGAUUUAGCUGUUUUUUGUCCGUACUCAAGUUUUGGAAGUCGUUUUUCAAGUUUUUCCCCAAAUGUCCCCAUUUGCUGAUUGUGCUAAAAUUGUUUAUCAAUGCAAUAAUAUAAUGAUCAGGAGCUGGGCCCCAAUUCUGUUAAUUAAAAUGGCCGAUGAAUGAAUGAAAUUUGGCUUAAAAUGUCAAUUUUCGUAUACUCUUAAGCAUUUUUCUACACAAUAAUUGUAAAUUCAUUACGGGACGGUACACCCAGGGUCAAUACAGUUAACUUCCAAUUAUUGUAUUGGCAAAAAGCUUAAGAGAAUAGUUAUAAUAUCAAAUUUAAUCCAAUUGCCAUUCAUUCAUCGACCGUUGUAAAAUAGCAGAAUCGGGGCCCUGAUUCAAUGAUGCGACAUGAAGUGAUAGAAGCUCCGCAAUAAAACGACAAACAUAAUCGAGUAUAUUCCCGUUUCAUUUAUCUUUUCCAUUACUUUGGUCCUAUAAUAUGAUGUGUACAGAAAAUCCUUUUCAUAUAAAACUUGUUCGAAAAGAUUUUAAUUGUGUUCUGAAGCAGUAUUUAUAUGUGACGAAGUUAAUCUUGUUGUAUAGUACAUUCCGUACUGCACACAGAAAAUGAAUUUAAUAUUAUAUAUUGACAUCAGUCAUACUAAACGAUUUUAUAUAUUUUUACUGUCUACUAUCCCUGUUAUUGUAAUGUUUGGUAAUUUGAUGUUCAUUAAGUAAAAGUGACAAAUUUGUAAAAUCUCGCAAUGAAUUAGAAUAUUGUAUAAGUAUAGUCGCGUGAGGUAAAUAAGACUGCCGGGUUAUAUUGGUUUCAAGAGUUUUCAGAAUGAAGUAACUGGUAGCUCUUGGUUGUUUAAAUGAAGGAAGGUGUUUUCUUUUAAAUGGUGAAUGGAGUCUGAUGAGUGUAGGAUGAUUCCUAGCGUGAUGGAAAGCCUAAAAGAGCUUGCUAGUACCUAGGACUGUAUAGAGAAAGUAAGAGGACAGACAGUUCCUGGUACGGAAGACUACGUCCAGCAAUUUAUAGCAGUACUGAGUUGUUCGAUUGAUCAAAAUAUUAACGCAGUCGACGUGACCAACCCCCGUCUUCGUUUACCCUGACAGUCCUAUUUACUCCGUUCCUAAGUAUUAUUAAUAGUAAGCGUUUAAUGCAAUAAUUUUCUGUAUAAUAAAUUAAAUAAAGUUUUGUA